AUGAGUUUGGGAGCGAUCGGUCAAUGAUCAGAGAACAUUGUCUUCUUCAAAUUGGUUUGCUUAGUUUUGUAAAUGGCUUUAAGCUACAUCAAAGCCUUGUAGUGGCCACAACAAAUUAAAUGACAAGAUUUGGUUCAAGACCCCGGGCAAUGCAGGUGGAGGUAAAUCACUAAUAUUAACGAUACACUCAAACAUAGAAAAAAUAAGAAAAUGUACUACUUUAAAAUGGUGAUAGCCUCAAUGGUGCUGCUCAUGCUGUCACUGAUGUUAUAAUGGGACAGAUACAGAGCCGAGAACUCUAUAAAUAGGACAUAGCUUAGCCUGAGUGCCAGUCUGUUUGUGUCACCAUGACAACUCCUUGUCACUCAUAYUCAUGCCAAAAAUAAUUGGCUUGACUAAUAGCAAUGAAGUUGGCAUGAGCACGAACAGAUCUGGGAUCAGGUUAAACGUUUGCUUUGGURAGUGAAACAUUAGCCAAUUCUUCUGUUCAGUGUUUUAGCAUUUCACAUCCCAUAGAGCCGGGUCAUGUUCAUCAGGGAACACCGAAACAAAAUGUUUCGCAGUGGAAAAGGAAAACAAGUUUGUUUUUCGAGAUGGCUCAGCUAGUCCCUAUCAUGUUUACUUCAGUUUGGUGCCUAAUGAAUACGGCCCUGGUCMGAGCUGAAACCAGCUAGCAUCAGGUUAGCUGGAUGUUUCAACCCCACCUUGGUUAGCAAAGUGAAAACCAAACCAUUGUUUUUUUGUUGCUUGAAGGCAGAGAGACAGUUCUUAAGUAGUGUGGACACAAUGUUCUGGAAGGGGAGCAGGUUGGAGGGGUGAGAGAGAGUGUGCGCAACACAGCAGAACAUUUAGCAACAAUUAGGAACGCUCCUGGCUGUGAACACAGCCUCACUGGGGAAUCAUCGUCUUCAAGUUCAGUCUCAGAAACCAGCAGCAGAGGGGAGCCACUGUAGUGAAGGAGGAGAUGUCUAACUGGUCUGCUUGUACUGUGUUCUGCAGUAAGACCCUCCCCAGGGAUAGACUCAAGCUCAUCUCAGGUUUGGGCCAGGACAGACAUAACAGAGGAGGGGUUCAGCUCUAGACCAGGACAUAACAGAGGAGGGGUUCAGCACUGGACCAGGACAGAGCAGAGGAGGGGUUCAGCACAGGACCAGGACAUAACAGAGGGGUUCAAGCACUGGACCAGGACAUAACAGAGGAGGGGUUCAGCCACUG
rnacentral:lncRNA from 1 species